CGCUUAAACGAACUGGAGGCGGUCUCUUUAAAUAUCCCACAAUUCCUCACACCGCCCACACGUGUUCAAUUGCUUUUUGCACAGUCGCACAAAGAUCACACGAUCGGGCAGACACAGCAUGGACGGACGCAGUAUGGGCGUUGAUUGUCCAUCUGAACCCCCUGACUGAAGAGAAGCUUGCCAGUUUCUACAAUGUCUUCCCUGUAAAGGAUCUCUUAUUGGUUUGGGCCUUGAGGCCACAGUUGUGCUGAAGAGUCCUUCUGUAACCAUUAACUGCCAAUGGCAAAGGCAGAGAAUGUAAGAACUACAGUCAUUAGAUUCCAUUUGAUGGCUUCGUUUCGGGGCACAUGUUUCCAGUGACUGACUUGUUCCUCGGAUGGGAUGCAGCUUGAGUAGAGCUAAUUUUAUUGCCAUGUUUGGAGAACGUAAAAUGAGUGCUUAUUUAACCAUGCGUUUAUGUAUUGCACAAUUUUGAAAGUUGUUCAUUGUUACCAAUAAAGAAAUAUACUUUCUUGUA